CGUGCCAGCAGCCGCGGUAAUACGUAGGGACCUAGCGUUGUUCGGAAUUAUUGGGCGUAAAGGGUACGUAGGCGGCUUAGUAAGUCGGAUGUGAAACUCUCGGGCUCAACCUGAGAACUGCGUCCGAUACUGCUUGGCUAGAGUUACGGAGAGGAAGGCGGAAUUCCUGGUGUAGGGGUGAAAUCUAUAGAUAUCAGGAAGAACACCUAUUGCGAAGGCAGCCUUCUGGACGUCAACUGACGCUGAUGUACGAAAGUUAGGGUAGCAAACAGGAUUAGAGACCCUGGUAGUCCUAACCGUAAACGUUGUAUACUAGGUGGUGGGAGUAUUGAUCCUUUCACUGCCGGAGCAAACGCAUUAAGUAUACCGCCUGGGGAGUAUGCCGGCAACGGUGAAACUCAAAGGAAUUGACGGGGGCCCGCACAAGCAGUGGAGCAUGUUGUUUAAUUCGAUGAUACGCGAGAAACCUUACCAGGUCUUGACAUAUACUUGAAUGGUGUAGAAAUACAUCAGCUUUUCGGAGCAGGUAUACAGGUGCUGCAUGGUUGUCGUCAGCUCGUGCCGUGAGGUGUUGGGUUAAGUCCCGCAACGAGCGCAACCCUUAUUCUUUGUUGCUAACGUGUAAUGGCGAGCACUCUAAGGAGACUGCCGGUGACAAACCGGAGGAAGGUGGGGAUGACGUCAAAUCAUCACGGCCCUUAUGACCUGGGCUACAAACGUGCUACAAUGGGCAGUACAAAGAGUUGCGAUACCGCGAGGUGGAGCUAAUCUCAAAAAGCUGUCCUCAGUUCGGAUUGGAGUCUGAAACCCGACUCCAUGAAGCUGGAAUUGC
rnacentral:rRNA from 1 species